rnacentral:sRNA from 1 species
UUUUUGCGUAAGGGAUAGUAAUGAAAAUCCUUUUUGUUUUCACAAAAAGAUUGUAAUGGAUAGCCCGACCCAUC